rnacentral:rRNA from 1 species
GGACUACUGGGGUAUCUAAUCCUGUUCGCUCCCCUAGCUUUCGCGCCUCAGCGUCAGUUGCCAGCCAGGACACUGCCUUCGCCUUUGGUAUUCCUCCGGAUAUCUACGCAUUUCACCACUCCACCCGGAAUUCUAUGUCCCUCUCUGGCCCUCAAGUCCAGCAGUUUUCAAAGGCCUUACCCAGUUGAGCCGGGUACUGUCACUCCAAACUUACUGCACCGCCUGCACGCCCUUUACGCCCAGUAACUCCGGACAACGCUCGCCCCCUACGUAUUACCGCGGCUGCUGGCAC